rnacentral:rRNA from 1 species
UACGUAGGGUGCGAGCGUUAAUCGGAAUUACUGGGCGUAAAGCGUGCGCAGGCGGUUCGCUGUGUCCGAUGUGAAAGCCCCGGGCUUAACCUGGGAAUGGCAUUGGAAACUGGCAGGCUUUGAGUGUGGCAGAGGGAGGUAGAAUUCCACGUGUAGCAGUGAAAUGCGUAGAGAUGUGGAGGAAUACCGAUGGCGAAGGCAGCCUCCUGGGCCAACACUGACGCUCAUGCACGAAAGCGUGGGGAGCAAACAGG